rnacentral:rRNA from 1 species
CCUACGGGUGGCAGCAGUCGAGAAUUUUUCACAAUGGGGGAAACCCUGAUGGAGCGACGCCGCGUGGAGGAUGAAGGUUUUCGGAUUGUAAACUCCUGUCACUGCAGAGCUAGUAUGCAGGGAGGAAGGGACGGCUAACUCUGUGCCAGCAGCCGCGGUAAUACAGAGGUCCCGAGCGUUGUUCGGAUUUACUGGGCGUAAAGGGUGUGUAGGAGGCUAGGUAAGUCAGUUGUGAAAUCCCGUUGCUUAACAACGGAACUGCAAUCGAUACUGCAUGGCUAGAGGAUGGGAGGGGGAAGCGGAAUUCUUGGUGUAGCGGUGAAAUGCGUAGAUAUCAAGAGGAACACCGGUGGCGAAGGCGGCUUCCUGGAGUUCCUGACUCUGAAACACGAAAGCCAGGGGAGCGAACGGGAUUAGAUACCCCAGUAGUC